GGACCUUUGGCCGAGUAGUUAAGGCACACGUUGUUUCCCCGCAGGUGAGAGUUCGAAUCUCUCAGGCCA
rnacentral:tRNA from 1 species